AGGGAACGCGGGCGGCAUGCCUUACACAUGCAAGUCGAACGGCAGCACGGGUGCUUGCACCUGGUGGCGAGUGGCGAACGGGUGAGUAAUACAUCGGAACAUGUCCUGUAGUGGGGGAUAGCCCGGCGAAAGCCGGAUUAAUACCGCAUACGAUCUACGGAUGAAAGCGGGGGACCUUCGGGCCUCGCGCUAUAGGGUUGGCCGAUGGCUGAUUAGCUAGUUGGUGGGGUAAAGGCCUACCAAGGCGACGAUCAGUAGCUGGUCUGAGAGGACGACCAGCCACACUGGGACUGAGACACGGCCCAGACUCCUACGGGAGGCAGCAGUGGGGAAUUUUGGACAAUGGGCGAAAGCCUGAUCCAGCAAUGCCGCGUGUGUGAAGAAGGCCUUCGGGUUGUAAAGCACUUUUGUCCGGAAAGAAAUCCUUGGCCCUAAUACGGUCGGGGGAUGACGGUACCGGAAGAAUAAGCACCGGCUAACUACGUG
rnacentral:rRNA from 1 species